rnacentral:rRNA from 1 species
CCUACGGGUGACAGCAGUGGGGAAUAUUGCACAAUGGGGGAAACCCUGAUGCAGCGACGCCGCGUGAGGGAAGAAGGAUUUAGGUAUGUAAAGCUCUAUCAGCCGGGGAGAAAAUGACGGUACCUGACUAAGACGCCGCGGCUCAAUACGUGCCAGGAGCAGCGGGAAUACGUAGGGGGCAAGCGUUAACCGGAGUUACUGGGUGUAAAGGGAGCUGAGACGGCAAGACAAGUCCGAAGUGAAAGCCCAGGGCGUAACCCUGGGACUGCUUUUGAAACUGCCGGGCUGGAGUGCAGGAGAGGUAAGCGGAAUGCCUAGUGUAGCGGUGAAAUGCGUAGAUAUUACGAGGAACACCAGUGGCGAAGGCGGCGUACUGGA